rnacentral:rRNA from 1 species
UACGGAGGGUGCGAGCGUUAUUCGGAUUCACUGGGCGUAAAGCGCACGUAGGCGGUUUGGUAAGUCUGAUGUGAAAGCCCUCGGCUCAAUCGAGGAAGUGCAUUGGAUACUGCCGAACUAGAGUACAGGAGAGGAAGAUGGAAUUCCCGGUGUAGAGGUGAAAUUCGUAGAUAUCGGGAGGAACAACAGAGGCGAAGGCGAUCUUCUGGACUGUAACUGACGCUGAGGUGCGAAAGCACGGGUAGCAAACAGG